GCAUAUCGUCGCUGGGCUUCUAAAAUGUUGUAAAUUAUAAAUUUUUUCAAGAAAAAAAUUUCUCACAAACAGGCUUUGAAAAUUUUGGCAAAAUGCAUGCUUCCAAAAUGUCGUAUGUGAACUUGAACAUUUUUGUAAACAGCAGUGAAAUAAAAACGUUGACAUUUCUGGAUUAUCCAAGAACUUAAAUUAUUUUCACAGAAAUAAAGAAAUGUACAAUUAUUUUUUUCCCAAAGCCAUUCUACAACGAUUUUCAAGUUUUCAUACAACAUUUUGGAAGCAAACUUUACAAACAACUGACAUUGGCAAUUUUGUAAUAUGUCUUAUUUCACACAUUUUGAUUGGUCUAACUGUAUGCUAUUUUGUGAUACCAAAGAUUUCCUCCCGUCCAGACCAUUGGUGUCAAAAAGUAUUUUUAGCCAAAAAAGUCAUAUACGACAUUUUAGAAGCCCAGCGACGAUAUAUUUUAGAGUU
rnacentral:lncRNA from 1 species